rnacentral:lncRNA from 1 species
UAGUGCUACAAUUUUCUCCAAGAGACUUAGUAAUUUCUUCUUCUCUCAAAAUUUUAAUCCAUCUAUUUUCUAAAUAUGGAAGUAGACCAGGUCAUAGACAGUGCAUCUCCACAAGUAGACAAUAGAGUGGCAACUCUUGCAGAUCUUCAAGCUCUUAUGAAUAGUGUACGAAAGGAGAUUGCAUUUCUUUGCAAUCCAAGUAAAGAAC